GACGAACGCUGGCGGCGUGCUUAACACAUGCCAGUCGAACGGAAAGGCCCUGCUUUGGUGGGGUGCGCGAGUGGCGAACGGGUGAGAAACACGUGAGUAACCUGCCCCUGACUUUGGGAUAACUUCAGGAAACUGGGGCUAAUACCGGAUAGGAGCUCCUGCUGCAUGGUGGGGGUUGGAAAGUUUCGGCGGUUGGGGAUGGACUCGCGGCUUAUCUGCUUGUUGGUGGGGUAGUGGCUUACCAAGGCUUUGACGGGUAGCCGGCCUGAGAGGGUGACCGGCAACAUUGGGACUGAGAUACGCCCCAGACUCCUACGGGAGGCAGCAGUGGGGAAUAUUGCACAAUGGGCGGAGGCCUGAUGCAGCAACGCCGCGUGCGGGAUGACGGCCUUCGGGUUGUAACCCGCUUUCGCCUGUGACGAAGCGUGAGUGACGGUAAUAGGUAAAGAAGCACCGGCUAACUACGUG
rnacentral:rRNA from 1 species